CUGUAAACUGUGGUCAACCAAGCUUGGAAGCACCUCAUGUAUAAUCGUGCAUUUUUGACCACGAAAGUGCACAAGGCCAUGUGACCUAAGAGUUAGACAGUCUCGAGCAGUGACAUGAGGAUUGUUGCGAAGUUUCGUGGCCAGGACUUUUAUGGUGUUGAAAUGGUCAGGCGGGAGAGAUGCUAUUCCCAUCUAGGAAUCGAGGUGUGCGCCUAUGAACUCUAGGUGUUGGGUAGGAGAUAAGGUGGAUUUGUUUUUGUUUAUUUGUAGGUCAACGGACAGGAAGCAAGUAACGGUGAAUCGAAGAGCUUUGUCAUAUGUUGAGGCUUUGAGGAGACAAUUAUCGAGGGGUUUGAAUUCCUAGGGACCAGAGAGUUGCCCUUGAGUCCUUCAUUGAAUGAAGUACAUCAUUCGUCAUGGAGGCAAAGAGUUUGUCGCCACUGAAGGGAAGAUCUUCAAUGGUACUCUGGACCUUUCGAGGAAAGGAAGAGGAGGAGAGCCCUGAACCUCAGCGCAUCACCACUGCUAUAGCAGUGGCUCUUGCUGCAGUAUUGGCUGCAUCAAGGGCUGCUUGAAGAGCGGUACAGGAGAUGAUUUGUCCCUCAGAAACUAGGGCUGUAAAUUGUUUAUUUUAUUCUGAAAUGUCGUCAAUAAAGUCCAUGAAUUUAUUGUAA